AUUAAUCAGCUAGCUCAGCAGAAAAAGCAUUAAUCAGCUUGCCAAUCAGUUCCAGCUAUAAGCUAUCAAAUAGAACCAGCAUUAAUCAGCUAGCCAAUCA